CAUAGGCCUGGUCCUGACCUUACUAUCAACUUUAACCUAAAUUAUACAUGCAAGUAUCCGCACCCCGGUGAGAAUGCCCUAAGACCCCUAAACUUUGGGGCCAGGGAGCCGGUAUCAGGCACAGCACAGCUAGCCCACGACGCCUUGCUCUGAGCCACACCCCCAAGGGGCCCCAGCAGUAGUAAACAUUAAGCAAUAAGUGAAAACUUGACUUAAUUAAGGUUAGAACCAAGGGCCGGUAAAGAAUUGUGCCAGCUACCGCGGUUAAACGAGAGGCCCAAGUUGAUAGACAUCGGCGUAAAGAGUGGUUAUGAAUUAAUUACCAUAAAGUAAAAUACCCCCAGAGCCGUGAUAAGCACCCCGGGAUGAGAACAUCAAUCACGAAAGUAACUUUAGAAGAUCAGACCCCACGAGAGCCAGGGCACAAACUGGGAUUAGAUACCCCACUAUGCCUAGCUAUAAACCACGACACCAAAAUACCAACAGUGUCCGCCCGGGGACUACGAGCGUGAGCUUAAAACCCAAAGGACUUGGCGGUGCUUUAGACCCCUAGAGGAGCCUGUUCUAGAACCGAUGAUCCCCGCUCAACCUUACCUUUUCUUGCUCCUUCCCGCCUGUAUACCUCCGUCGUCAGCUAACCUUAUGAAGGCAUAAAAGUAAGCAAGAUCGGCUUUCUCCCAAAACGUCAGGUCAAGGUGCAGCGAAUGAAAAGGCUGUAAUGGGCUACAUUCCCUAGUAAAGGGCACACGAAUGGGAGAUUGAAAUAUCUCCCUGAAGGAGGAUUUAGUAGUAAGCACAAAGUAGAGCGUUGUGCUGAAUAUACCCAAUAAAGCGCGCACACACCGCCCGUCACCCUCCCCAAAACCGAUAAACUCAGUAAUUAAACCCCUAACAUGGGCCAAAGGGGAGGCAAGUCGUAACAUGGUAAGUGUACCGGAAGGUGCACUUGGAAAAUA
rnacentral:ncRNA from 1 species